CCUCUCAGUGUCGGCACAAAGUUGCUGGGAGGACCGCGUCUGAAACAAAACUCAGCAUGUGGCAGCGCGAGUGUCGCAACAUCCGCGAGCGGGACCUCAGCGGACGGUCUGUGAUCUGAAACCCAAAAACAAAGAGUGAGCGGCCUGCUAGAGAAAUCAAGUCUUCAUCAUGAGAGACAAAUACAUGAACUUAAGGCCUCCGUGGGAGUGGAAUCAUUUCAGAGUGUAAUCAGUUCCAAGCUGCUUUGUCUUUUACUUAUUUUUUCUUUGCUCUGUCGACGUUAUACAAAACGUUUCUUUAAAAUUGAGUCAAACUGCAGCUUUUUUAUGAUACCAAUGCAUAAACUGGCACCCUAGAAAAGUACAGGAAGAGAGAAAAAGGCACGAGUCUCGUGUUUGCAAAGGGACGAGCUUUGAAACAGAACAGAAUGGGUUCAAGCUUCACCUGACCAAAAAUCAAAACUCCAAAAAACAAACAAACAAACAAAAGAAAUAAAUAAAUCAAAAGUCACGCCACUCUGAUAUGACACUGUCUCAUUCAUUCGGCUCACGUCACGCUCCUCUUGACUUCUUACUUGACCUUGAAAUAUUGGAUUUCGAGCAAUGUGUUUAAUAAUCUCACUUGAACUUCUGGCCUGUAGGGCCAGAGGAAAUCAUUGUUAUUUCUUUCUUUCUUUUUAAUCCAUCCUUUCAGAGGUGUUGGAUGCUGGGCCGCGUGGGAGCUUUUUAAAAAAUGAGAACAAAACAUUUUCGAAAUGUAAACCAAACUCUGGGUUAUUUACAAAAAGGCUAAAGGCAAAAAUGUGCACCUGAUUGCUUUGCUUUUGUAGCUACAAACACGCCAUUGAUGGUUAGCUGAGAUGGCACUAUUUAGUGCAGCAAAGCUCGGAUAUAAACGAGGCCACGGCACAAAAACCUGUAGAUGUGGAUUUUUGCACGCAUGCUUUGUGGUAAAAAGCUCACCUCUCGUUUAAAAAGUAAGAAAUCCCUGUCUGUAUCUAUACAUUGCCAUAUAUUGUCUCCACAUCUGACCCGAAUGCCCCCCUCACCCUUCUGCACCGGUCCAAACCGGCAGCUUGCGCUAAUUUGCAGGGGGAAAAAAGCUCUUUCUUUGGUCUCUCUCCUCUCCCGGUCCUAUAUACCGUCUCUCCCAGGAGGUUUACACAAACUGUGAGACAAAAGUUCCACUAGGCAACGGCCUGUCGAGGAAUGCUGACCUUGGCACGGCCAGUGGAAUCGGCUCGGCCGUUCUUUCGUUUCUUAUGGUUUGAAUUAAGGCGCAUUUGACCUGCGCCAACUUCCAAGAGUUGCCACGGAGGCGCACGGGAGCCGUGCUAUAGGUUACUGCUGUUGCUGUCUGCACUGAAUGAAAUGAUAAAAAAAGAGAGGGAGAGAAAGGGGGCUGCAGUCCAGCGAUGAAACGUGAGAGGACAGAAAAUAGUGACCAACUAACAAUCGCUUUAGCAGGAAUUUAGGAGCAGGCCGUUAAAAAACAAACAGAAAGAUGUUAGAACGGACAAACAACAGCGAUGAAAUCAAGUUAAAGAUAUACAGUAAAGCAAACUGAUGAGCAGGAAUGGAAGAAUUUUCAUCUUUUACGUGAGUGAAAGUGGCGUCAUCACAACACAGAAACAAAAGAAAAAUUCUGAAGGCACAGCUGGAAACAUAAUGACCCCAUUCACACUGUUAGGCCUACUACAUUAUUAAUAUCAGUGCAUUAAAGUGCAUUUUAGAGACAUUUUACUGAUGAGUAACGUAGUCUGGAGCACUUAUUAUCAAUAUCUCCAACAAGGUGGUCAAAAAACUCAGACCAAACCGAAAACACAAAUGACAACCAAACGUGGACAAUUAAAAUGUACAACCCCUUUAAAUGUUUCAAAUGUAAAAUAAAAGCACCACAACACCACGUUUGAUUAUUCCACAGCUCUUAAAUGUUCUCUGACAGCAAAAGGAGAGCGUGACAGCUUUGCACCGAGGAACAUCCUAAGUUAGAUCAGGUACACUCCCUGUUGGGCAUCACAAAACAUUACAGUCCUGCUUUUCACAGGGAGUGACACAUGCCUAAACGCUUGAAGUAAAGAGCUUAUAGUGGGGAAAAAAAGAGAGAGAGAGUGUCACCUGCGCAUUUAAGCAGAGAAAAUGAACAAAUACUCCAGAGAUAGACAGAAAAACACUGAUUGAAAUAAAUCAUGUUGCACUGUUUUAAAAGAAUUUUAUUCAGUUUUUCGUAUGUUUUUGGUGUCAAAGUAUUUCUAUAUGUACUGAUUUACCGCUGAUUAAUCUGUAAAUCCCCGAGGACCUUUGAUAUACAGGUUAAGGAUUAAUUAGCUGAGUUUAGAAAUUUGCCUAAUUACCACAAGACCCUUGAGGAAGUGUGUUAUUGCCCUUUGUACAUAAAAGCAGGAAAGCAGCGUUAAGCAGGAUUAGACUAAAGUCACCUUACUUUACAUAUAUAAAAGGGUUUGCUGAUUGGAGAAGAAAGCAUUUUUUUUUAAUUGUUUGGGUUAUUUAUAGUAAAUCUUACAGGUAGGAGAAACACUCACUACACUCUAAAGGGACACCACAUUUAUGGAGACGCCUGUGCUCUGAACCUGCAUCAGUCUGAUCAGUUUUUUUUUAUCAGGAUGCAGUUUUCUCCCAUGCAACCAAAUUACAAGGAUGAGGUAGUGUGAUUGCUGAGGCGCACACGUAAAAGCACACACACCGCGCAGACGUGCAGAUGUUCGUCCACCUGCAGGCUGAGCGCUGAAAUUAACAACACCUGAAGAAGGAUGACUGGUGGAGCCUCAGGCCCUGCGAACCACUGAUUGGCUCAGCUGAGGAUCUGGCUAACUGAUGCUGAGCGGCGUCUGUGUAUGCGUGUGUGUCUUUCUGUGUGUGUGUGUGUGUGUAUGUGUAUCUCUCGGGGUAUCCCACCCUCCCCUGCCUUAUCAGGCAGCUCCACGGCACCGCUAGAGGAGUGCUGCUCUCAGGAGGGCAGGGCUACCAGCACACCGCUUAUCUUCUACCAGCAAGGAGGGUUUAUAGGUCUGAUUAACUCACUGUUUGCAUGUGUUGUGUGUAUGAGAAAAGAAGAGAGAGGGAGCUGUGGUGUAUAAUUGUGUAUUGUGGACUAAUUGUGUGUGGGUGAUUGUGUGUGCGGCGGCGGCUGUGUAAGUGGAUGCCAGUGUGAGGAAGGUGUACACUCAAGAGCGGUGAAGCACUCGCACCACCGUCAUCCUAGCCGGUUCAAACCAGGAGAAUCAUCAGCCCAGGAUGUACUUUCUUUCCUUACCACUGACUGGGACACUGGAAUUUGCCUCAUAUCUCCUGCAUUUGUAAGUUUCAUUUUCACUCUGUCUUUAUUCAGGUUUAGGCACCAAAUCUUCUUAAUUUUAGAAAAAGUAGCUAUUCUGAAAAAGACUAAACUACAGUGUUUUCUUGGAUAUGAGGGUGCAGAGUUCCAUCCAUGUAAAGAAUAAGGCGUAGCUUCAAGGCUACGCCUCCGGCUGGUGCGAGAGAGAUAGUGCAGGUUUAAGCUACCUGUCAGCAGCUUAAACCUGCAUUAUCUCUCUCGCACCAGCGGGGGGAAAUUUCUCUGUUUGGGCAAAGAAACUAGAUUGUAUGUAAGUCUGCGGGAAAAUGUCCAUUGUUUUGACUUCAUCCAGUCACUCGACUUCACUAAACAUCUUCCACAAAUGAGUUUAUGGACUCAAGUAGUGAUCCUGAAUAGAGUGAAAAACAAAGUGUAUAGUUUAGGGAGGGUCCACCUUGUGAUUGACAACUUGCUACCCUAUGAACCUCAGUUUCUCCGUCACAUCCAUCCUUGAUUGUCAUGUCUGAUUACUAUCUUGGUGUUACACCAAAAUUCUCACCUCGAGGUGUGUCCGUCAUUUAUAAUGGAAUCUCUAUAUAUAUGAACAUUUAUUUUGGGUCCCAUUUAACACAGGUUGUGUCAAAAGAAUCAUCUGAUUUCAAUAUUCUAGAUUUUUUAAAGUAACUGACAUGUUCACAGGAGUUCAAUAUGUCCCCCUGGAUGCACGGCACAUGUCCAUAUGAUAGUCAAACUCGUGCUAUACACAGCAGAGGUCACGUAACUUUACAGAAAGGUAUCUCAGUGCUCUGCUAUAUAAGCAGAAGAGCUUUACAGAGCUGCUAACACGGCUGUAGACUUUUAUUAUCAUUCAGUAAUAAGUUCUUUGUUCAAAUGGUUUCAUAAAUAUUAUGAAAAUUAUGCAAAGACUACAAAAUGUCUCUGUCUUGUCUCCUAAAUUUACAAUGCAGACUCUGUGCUCUCUGUUUCAUAACUCAGGGUGGGGCAGGGAUGGGGGUCAUUUAAUGGUUCCUUGGCAUUAAAUCAGGUACCUUCUUUUUCGCUGUCUGAAAUUCCCAUAAUUUCCCAUCACCUAUCCUUCCUCCCUGUUUCCUCCUUCCUUUCUCCCUCAAUCCUCACUCACCCUUAAGAUUUCUUUUAGGGCUGGAGUCUUCUCUGUGGUGCCACUUUCGUGUUUGGUAGUGCAUCCAAAAGGACAUGAAUAUUCAUGGAUAAUCCAUUCUGCACCCUCCACCCCAGAACCACCACCACCGCCCCCCAACCCCACUCGGCCCUGCAGUUGAAGGCAACACUUGGUAGUGGCACAUGGUGAGACAGCUGUUGCGAUCCAAGCCUGGCAUCUGUGCAGCGGGAGAGCACGAGGAAGCGAGAGACCGAGGGGAGCGCGCGCAUGCAAAAGACACGGUUAGAAUCAGAUAACGAAGGCAGAGAUAAAGAGAGGGAGGAGGCUUUUAUAUACAGUAUGGUAUGGAACGGGCAGUGGUUGGAGGCAUCUGGGUAAAGGAGAGCCAGACAGACAGAAGGAGCAGGGCGGUGACAGGGUCAUCUGGGUGAAAAGGAAGGGGACAAGCCAGACGGAUAGAAACGGGCACUGAUGGGAGGCUCUGUCUGGGGACAGAGCGAGAGAGACAGACAGAUUGAAAGAAGAUGGAGAGAAAACGGGAUAGAAAGUAAGGCAGAAAGGGAAAUCUGAACACAGGAGGCAAAACAUAGAAGGAGGACAAGGAUGACAUGAGGAUGACUCAAAGUAAAAAAAAUGAUUGUAAAAAGACUGAGGUCAUCUAAAUCCCAUAACAGGAAUUCCUGAUAACAAAUAGAGUUUAUGCAUGCCAAAAUGUUAUGAGUUGUGAAGUAUUAGGUUGUUUUAUUACUUUUUUAAAAUGGCUUUUUCCUCCUAAAUCAUGGUGUAAAAAAAAAUCCUGCUUUUGCAGCCCGUUGGUACCAAACUUGGCUUUAUAUUUGUAUUGAACUGGGUGCCAGUUUACCAUCAUUUAUACUGCAGAGCAGUCCACUGGAGUUCAGUAAGAGUCCCUCUCUGACACAAUGAGACCACGGACCGCAGAAGAAGUUUCCCCUUUAACUCGUGUUUUACGUUGUGGAAGUGUGUGUUUUAACCAAAACCACCCCUCCCCUCCCCCCUCCUAAACCUAACCACAUAAUUUAAUGCCUAAACCUAACCAAACCUAACCACGUCCUUUUUUUGGGUCUUUUUUUCAUGGUUUUUGACUCUGCAGGAAGAAUAUAGUCAAACACAAAAGUAAAGAAGGGUAUAAAGAAUCAGACUCUUGCCAUCUCCUUGUCUUUCCUGUUGAGGUAUACGUGACUGUAACAGGGAAAUAACACAAUAUGAAUUCCUACAUAUUUUUGUGGACUUUAUUGAAUUUUCUUGGAAAAAUAUUAGAUCCUGUUACUUGUUUGUAUCUGAAAGACCAAAUUAUAUCAGCGUCCAUGUUUUCUGUAGUGGACAUGACAAGUAACCAAAGACUGUAUAUAAAAGAUGGAACUAGCUAUUGUUGCGUGAGCCACUGAAUAUUUUAGCCAUCCUGCUCUUAGUGUUUUGAACCUUCCCUUUAACUCUUGCAGUUAACCUUUUGUCACAAAUCACGUCUGUCACUCGUCUCCACCCGCUUCACCCUCCCUGUACUCUUCUGUUCCCCUCUCUGGUGUACUGCUUUGGAUGGUCGAAGUCAGGUAUUUAAACUAAGCUGUCAUCUACCUUCACUGUUGUUACUCUUUACAGCUUCACUUUUCCACCUGUCUCCCUCUGUAAGCGCUCAUAAAACAGUUGCUUGUGAAUCACAAGGUAGGCCUGUCUUAAAGCAUAACCUACUUUUUUGUCCAUUUGAAAUCACAACUUAAACAUCAUGCUGCAAAAAAAAGCGAUGGUUCCGGUGACUUAGAUAAUAAAGUAAUCAGGAAUGUGUCUUGUUGAAGUCAUACAGCUGGUGAGCCAUAUGGUCAUUUUCCCAUAGAUUUCUCAGACAUUGCUUUGCAGCUACAGUCGCCCCCUGCUGGACAUUAGAAAUAAUGCAAAUUUGAGGCAUUUUGGCACGAGAUUCACUCUUUGGACCCCAGUCCAUGUUUUAUAUACAUCUUAUUAAAGUAACUAGAAACAAUGGUGCUUCAAAAUUGAUAAUCUUAAUUUUACAGCUUGAUAACGUUGCUUUACCUCAGACUGCAUCUCAAAAAUAAAACCAGUAAUUCAAUCAGGAGCAAAUUUACAAAAGAGGGCAUCUCAUGAAAUAAGAUUCACGCAGUAAAUUUCCUAAAAUAGUAAAUACACCUCCCCCCACCACAAACACACAAACCUGUGUAGUGAACCCAUGCUGUGUGUACCACAAAGCUGAGUUGCUGUAUGUCUACAGACGGAGGAAAUGCUCCUUUGCCAGCCAUGCCCAGCCUGUGCCCCUCUCUUUGCCCCCUGUAGCCCCCUGUAACCCCUCCACCCCUCCUCCCUGCUUUCCACCUCCAGCAUCCCUGCAUGGGGCCCCAUUGCUGGCUGCCAUCCCUCCCUGUCUCCCCACCACCACCAUUACCACCACCCCCACUCCCACCCAGGCAGAGGGCCUAGCUCUGCCCUACAUAGCAGUGAGCGCAGCAGGCUGGCGCUGAGAGGAACCCUCGGGUUUACAAACUGUGUCAGGCCUCGAGACGGCACUGUGAUCAACACCAACCGCCACAUGAGAGGAAAUAAUAAAGCUACUGCUACCAAGAGAUUGGUGUGAUUGAUG